rnacentral:rRNA from 1 species
GAUGAACGCUGGCGGCGUGCCUAAUACAUGCAAGUCGAGCGAACGGACGAGAAGCUUGCUUCUCUGAUGUUAGCGGCGGACGGGUGAGUAACACGUGGAUAACCUACCUAUAAGACUGGGAUAACUUCGGGAAACCGGAGCUAAUACCGGAUAAUAUUUUGAACCGAAUGGUUCAAAAGUGAAAGACGGUCUUGCUGUCACUUAUAGAUGGAUCCGCGCUGCAUUAGCUAGUUGGUAAGGUAACGGCUUACCAAGGCAACGAUGCAUAGCCGACCUGAGAGGGUGAUCGGCCACACGGGAACUGAGACACGGUCCAGACUCCUACGGGAGGCAGCAGUAGGGAAUCUUCCGCAAUGCGCGAGAGCCUGACGGAGCAACGCCGCGUGAGUGAUGAAGGUCUUCGGAUCGUAAAACUCUGUUAUUAGGGAAGAACAUAUGUGUAAGUAACUGUGCACAUCUUGACGGUACCUAAUCAGAAAGCCACGGCUAACUACGUG